UACGUAGGUGGCAAGCGUUAUCCGGAAUUAUUGGGCGUAAAGGGAGCGUAGGCGGCGCAUUAAGUCUGAAGUAAAAGCCAGUGGCUCAACCACUGUAAGCUUUGGAAACUGGUGUGCUAGAGUGCAGGAGAGGCAAAUGGAAUUCCAUGUGUAGCGGUAAAAUGCGUAGAUAUAUGGAGGAACACCAGUGGCGAAGGCGGUUUGCUGGCCUGUAACUGACGCUGAGGCUCGAAAGCGUGGGGAGCAAAUAGG
rnacentral:rRNA from 1 species